rnacentral:rRNA from 1 species
UACAGAGGGGGCAAGCGUUGUUCGGAAUCACUGGGCGUAAAGGGCGCGUAGGCGGCUUUGUAAGUCGGGGGUGAAAGCCUGUGGCUCAACCACAGAAUUGCCUUCGAUACUGCAUGGCUUGAGACCGGAAGAGGUAAGUGGAAUUGCGAGUGUAGAGGUGAAAUUCGUAGAUAUUCGCAAGAACACCAGUGGCGAAGGCGGCUUACUGGUCCGGUUCUGACGCUGAGGCGCGAAAGCGUGGGGAGCAAACAGG